CCACAGCCAGUUUCCUCUUGCCGGCGGCUCCUCUGACCUGCCCUGGAGACGCGCCUCUGUGAAGCGCCCACGUGUGGAGAGAAGGUCGGCGGAGCCGGGGAGUGGACAAAGUUGCCAGGAGAGGGCGGGAGGGAAGGUGCCCAGGGUGAGACUCUGGGAUCCCCAACAUCAUAAAGGACCCUCAGGGAUGCGGGAACCGAGACGGCAUGGAUGGAAAACUCUUUCCAGGAAGGCUGAGGGACGCCAGAACUGCAUUCUGGAUCUUUCCCUUACAACCUGCUGCACCUGCAGUUUUCCCACCUCAGUUGAUGGCAGGCUCAGGCCAAAAGACUUGACGCCGGCCUUUCUCUCACACCGCACGUCCAAUUUGGCACAAAAUCGUGUUUCCUCUCUGGUUAAUUGCGGACUUUAGUCCACACAAUCUUUUCUCUUUCUUAGUCUCUGAUCUUGGCAAACGAAUCUCCUGAUAAAGGCGUGGAGAUCGAGUCAACUCCCAACCCUCGUCCGUUAAGACUUUAGGGUUUGAGACCUUUAAUCUCGGGAUCCUGGGGUUGGGCCGCCGUUGAGACUUCCUUUGGCUCUGCCCGUCAACAUCAGCCUCUUCCGGUCCUGUCCUCCAGGGCCAGUGGCGAAGCCCCCUCAGCGCGGCCCCUCUCGCCGGGUCAGGAGCCCCACACACGCCUCCAGCGGCGCCUGCACAGAAGCGUCGAGAGGCGUUGAUGCAGUUUGAGCCGAGCUCGCGGGGUGCGCGGGCGUGGGCGGUGCGUUUGUGGGUUCCGGCACCGCUGUGCUCCGCCCCCCGGUUCUCAGCCGCCGGCAGUAACGUCCGCGUUAGAUUGAGCGGCGAGCACGCGCAGGCAGGGAGAGAGCGGUAGGAGAAGGUCGGCUUCCCCAAGUCCUGUCCAGUAAGGAUCAAAAAACGAUCUUGAAGAGACAGAAAGGGAGAGGUAGAAACAGAGCAAAGGGAAAGGAAGAAAUCCUAUGAGAUUUCCAUGAAGAUCAAAUCGGAGUCCUCUGGGACCCGGUCCUCCUGUCGCUGGUGAAGGUGAGUCCAGUUCCCGUCUAUAGCUGGAGCCAACGCAGACGAACUUGGCCUGAUUACCAGCGAGUAAGCAGCUGCUCUUCCUCCCUCUUUGGGCAGCACGUGGUCUUGUAGCGCUUGAACGUCUCUCUCUGGGUUUUCUACACAUUCCAAGGAAGCAAUUGGAUUCUUCAUGGAACUAAAAGCUACAGACGACAAUGUAUUCAUUCAACAAGUCCUAGUAGAGAGUCCUGUGGAGUGGCAAAUCCUAUUGUCGACAAAGGGACACAGGAGCGACCACUGCCCUCGUGGAGCUCCGGUGCUGGACACAGGAACCUGCAGCAUCUUUCCGAAGGCGUCUCAGAAGCCUGGGCAAACGCUCAUUCUUUUAGGUGAAAAUGAAGAAAACGGCAAGAGCCAUCACGAGAGCCCACAGGCUGUUCACCUUCCCUAGGCCCCCACGUGGCUCGGGGAUCGCGCACCCGGGCGUCUCCAGGGACGCUGGCCUCUGAGGCGGGUGACGGG
rnacentral:lncRNA from 1 species